GACGAACGCUGGCGGCGUGCCUAACACAUGCAAGUCGAGCGGAGACAGUGAGUAGCUUGCUAUGAGCUGUUUUAGCGGCGGACGGGUGAGUAACGCGUGAGCAACCUUUCCCAGACAGGGGAAUAACACACCGAAAGGUGUACUAAUACCGCAUAAGACCACGGGAUCACAUGGUUCUGAGGUAAAAGAUUUAUCGGUUUGGGGUGGGCUCGCGUCCGAUAGGUAGUUGGUGAGGUAACGGCCCAACAAGCCGACGAACGGUAGCCGACCUGGGAGGGUGAUCGGCCACAUUGGGACUGAGACACGGCCCAAACUCCUACGGGAGGCAGCAGUGGGGAAUAUUGGGCAAUGGAGGAAACUCUGACCCAGCAACGCCGCGUGGAGGAAGAAGGUUUUCGGAUCGUAAACUCCUGUCCUUGGAGACGAGUGGAAGACGGUAUCCAAGGAGGAAGCCCCGGCUAACUACGUGCCAGCAGCCGCAGUAACAC
rnacentral:rRNA from 1 species